UACACACGCCCGGCUUAUGCACGUUUUCUCUUAUUUACUAUUUUCCCUUUCUCAAUUUGUCUCGCCAGAACUAUCUGAAAACAUCCCUCUCCGACGAAGGCGGUCUGUUUAAAACGUUGGACUUCUCUUCUUGACAACCAAACCAAUUUAUUCCACCUUCAGACGAUUUAUAUUUUCUGCCUGCCAAGGCAGACUUUCUCUACUCUCUCGAAUUCUAUUUAAUUUCUUCCACUUAGCGAUCUUUUGAUUUUUUAUCCUUUAUUUUUAAUCGUUUCAGCUACUGAUUUGCGGCCAUACUGGUGCACUUCCUUGAAGGGUUUUACUCGAACAAAUCGACACUCGUAAUUCUUUUUUAAGCAACUGCUAAGUUAGUAUGGACGUAAACAAACGGACACUGGUUGUCAAGCGUUAAUGGGUGACAAGCACUAAAGCACAUACACACACACACACACGCACACAGUACGACGGGUUUCUCUUAUUUUCCAUCUACCAAAUUCACUCACAAGGCCAUAAUCUAUCCAGAACUAUAGUUGAAGACACUUGCCCAAGGUGCCACAUAGUGAGACUGAACUCGGAACCAUGUGGUUGGAAAGCAAAUUCCUUGUUACACAGCCACGCCUGCGCCUUUGAUGUUUUAAAUUUUUUUCUGUUUUUCAAACGGUUGAAAGUAGGCAAUAUUUAAUGUGUACCGUUGCCAGGCAACAGUGAAAAUAUGGCGGUCACAAUACUGGUUGAUAAAGCGGUGUUGAGAUGUACGAGGAAUACAGAAUGCGAAGUUUGAUGAAAGACUAUACUGGAGAAAUUGAGAAUAUUAGAGAGAAAGAGUGAAAAAUAUUUAAUUCAAAUAAUCAUAUUAUAUUAAUCAGGUGGUUUGAUGAUAUUUUGAAACAUGGCACAAAAGAAGUUGAAAAGGAUAAUCAUGACAACAGAAGCCAUGCAUUUAUCAUGUGAUUUAGUUCAUGGAUCCAGUUUGUUGGUCACUGAAUCUUCAGGCAAUGAAUCAACUUGCUUUUAUGAGUCCUUCCCUGAGGAUCCACAAGAAAAUAGUAUUAAUGAGCUGAUUUUGUUCUUCAAAAGUAACAGGGAACUGUUUGAGCAACAUAAAG